rnacentral:rRNA from 1 species
CCUACGGGUGGCUGCAGUGGGGAAUAUUGGACAAUGGGCGAAAGCCUGAUCCAGCCAUGCCGCGUGUGUGAAGAAGGCCUUCGGGUUGUAAAGCACUUUCAGUGGGGAAGAAAGCCUUGGGGCUAAUACCCUCGAGGAAGGACAUCACCCACAGAAGAAGCACCGGCUAACUCCGUGCACAGCAGCCGCGGUAAUACGGAGGGUGCGAGCGUUAAUCGGAAUUACUGGGCGUAAAGCGCGCGUAGGCGGUCUGAUAAGCCGGUUGUGAAAGCCCCGGGCUCAACCUGGGAACGGCAUCCGGAACUGUCAGGCUAGAGUGCAGGAGAGGAAGGUAGAAUUCCCGGUGUAGCGGUGAAAUGCGUAGAGAUCGGGAGGAAUACCAGUGGCGAAGGCGGCCUUCUGGACUGACACUGACGCUGAGGUGCGAAAGCGUGGGUAGCAAACAGGAUUAGAUACCCUAGUAGUC